GUGCUCACUUCAGCUGCACAUACACUAAGACUGGAACAAUACAGAGAAGAUUAGCAUGGCACCUGUGCAAGGAUGACAUGCAAAUUAGUGAAAUGUUCCAUAUUUAA
ensembl:snRNA U6 U6 spliceosomal RNA